rnacentral:lncRNA from 1 species
UGGGUAACACCUAAUUUUGCCGAAGAAAGGGCUGGGAGAUCGGAAAGGUUAGUAGUGUCUAGCAACCAUUUUGUGAUGGCUAUUUCUCCGAGCUGUGUAUGAUGUCAAUUGGCACAAUAACAGUACAUUGGAGAUUAGUGGCUUUAGUCUCUGAAGAAUGAUUCCUUUCAGGUCUUCAAUCAAGAAGGAUUUAUACUUUGUUUAUCUGAGCAACAUAUAUUGAUGGUGUUACCCCUUGCUAAAUAUGAUUUGUAUUAUGACUUGGGGAAUGUUGUAUAGUGUGUGAGAAUCUUCUCACCAAGAGAUAUAGGGAUUUUUUCGAGUGUGUGAUGAUACAAACAAACAAAAUAUAUAUUCCUUUGAACCUGUGAUCUAUGUUCUGUUUUUCUUCCUUCUCUUGGUCCUCCCUUUUUCAAUGCAAAUCAGUUGGUGUAUGUUUUAUUUGAAUACCUAUUACGAUUUUAUGACAUCACAACAUAAAAUGUAUUUUUAAAUAAAUAUCUCAUGCUAUGUGAUGAUACUUCUGUAGCAGGCAGAAGUGAAUUACAGAUUGACAUGUCUAAGUUAUACAUAUAUUUUUGAUUUGGAACAUAACCAUAAUUAACUCAAACUUGCUUAAAAACCAUUAUAUAUGCAUAUCAGUUAAGUCUCCACUUUGGUCCAAUUUAAUUUUCUGCACUAGUAUUGGCUCCGAGAUUUUUUCGAUACCUCUUGGAGCUGCAACCAAAAUAAUAAUCAACAUAUUUUUCAGCAAUUCUUGCACUCUAAUAUAAAACUAGUGAUGCAUAUCAAAGAUUACAAGAUAUUUAUAAUAGAAUAAUUGUAGCACGAGCAUAAUACUUAAUUACUGCACAGAACCAAAUACAACCCCGGCAUAUGUUAAGGUAACAAUUUAAAAUGACAACAAUUUGAUAUGGAGAGUUUAAACUUAAAGCAAGAAUUUGUUUAAAACUUCCUUAGAAGAACCUAGAGUUUAACCUUUCAUACCUAGCCCAAUUGCCUCGGAGCCUUUCAUGAUCCUUAAGUCUCCUACACGAGUCAGCGAACAUCCUGCCUCAAGCAACAAUUUAAGUAAGUCAGUUCAACCACUGGACUAUCAUGAUUUAACAUAAGCUUCAAUAUGAAAGUGUUUCGGAGAGCUUAUAGGAACAACUUAUGACAUGUCCAUAAGUUGUUUUCAGUUUAUUUUUCAUAAGUUCUUCAUGAUAACUUAUGAAAAUAGCUUAUAGCAUAUACGAACAAAGUUUAACUUAUUUUAUCUUUUGUUACAGAUAUAGCUUAAUACAUAAGCAAUUAUAUGAUACAUGAUUAUGCUAAAAGCGCUUAAUUAAGUUUGUUUAUCCAAAC